UCAGAAGUGCGAAUGCUGACAUAAGUAACGAUAAAGCGGGUGAAAAGCCCGCUCGCCGGAAGACCAAGGGUUCCUGUCCAACGUUAAUCGGGGCAGGGUGAGUCGACCCCUAAGGCGAGGCCGAAAGGCGUAGUCGAUGGGAAACAGGUUAAUAUUCCUGUACUUGGUGUUACUGCGAAGGGGGGACGGAGAAGGCUAUGUUGGCCGGGCGACGGUUGUCCCGGUUUAAGCGUGUAGGCUGAUUUUCCAGGCAAAUCCGGAAAAUCAAGGCUGAGGCGUGAUGACGAGGCACUACGGUGCUGAAGCAACAAAUGCCCUGCUUCCAGGAAAAGCCUCUAAGCAUCAGGUAACAUCAAAUCGUACCCCAAACCGACACAGGUGGUCAGGUAGAGAAUACCAAGGCGCUUGAGAGAACUCGGGUGAAGGAACUAGGCAAAAUGGUGCCGUAACUUCGGGAGAAGGCACGCUGAUAUGUAGGUGAAGCGACUUGCUCGUGGAGCUGAAAUCAGUCGAAGAUACCAGCUGGCUGCAACUGUUUAUUAAAAACACAGCACUGUGCAAACACGAAAGUGGACGUAUACGGUGUGACGCCUGCCCGGUGCCGGAAGGUUAAUUGAUGGGGUUAGCGGUAACGCGAAGCUCUUGAUCGAAGCCCCGGUAAACGGCGGCCGUAACUAUAACGGUCCUAAGGUAGCGAAAUUCCUUGUCGGGUAAGUUCCGACCUGCACGAAUGGCGUAAUGAUGGCCAGGCUGUCUCCACCCGAGACUCAGUGAAAUUGAACUCGCUGUGAAGAUGCAGUGUACCCGCGGCAAGACGGAAAGACCCCGUGAACCUUUACUAUAGCUUGACACUGAACAUUGAGCCUUGAUGUGUAGGAUAGGUGGGAGGCUUUGAAGUGUGGACGCCAGUCUGCAUGGAGCCGGCCUUGAAAUACCACCCUUUAAUGUUUGAUGUUCUAACGUUGGCCCCUGAUCGGGGUUGCGGACAGUGUCUGGUGGGUAGUUUGACUGGGGCGGUCUCCUCCUAAAGAGUAACGGAGGAGCACGAAGGUUGGCUAAUCCUGGUCGGACAUCAGGAGGUUAGUGCAAUGGCAUAAGCCAGCUUGACUGCGAGCGUGACGGCGCGAGCAGGUGCGAAAGCAGGUCAUAGUGAUCCGGUGGUUCUGAAUGGAAGGGCCAUCGCUCAACGGAUAAAAGGUACUCCGGGGAUAACAGGCUGAUACCGCCCAAGAGUUCAUAUCGACGGCGGUGUUUGGCACCUCGAUGUCGGCUCAUCACAUCCUGGGGCUGAAGUAGGUCCCAAGGGUAUGGCUGUUCGCCAUUUAAAGUGGUACGCGAGCUGGGUUUAGAACGUCGUGAGACAGUUCGGUCCCUAUCUGCCGUGGGCGCUGGAGAACUGAGGGGGGCUGCUCCUAGUACGAGAGGACCGGAGUGGACGCAUCACUGGUGUUCGGGUUGUCAUGCCAAUGGCACUGCCCGGUAGCUAAAUGCGGAAGAGAUAAGUGCUGAAAGCAUCUAAGCACGAAACUUGCCCCGAGAUGAGUUCUCCCUGAGACUUAGAGUCUCCUGAAGGAACGUUGAAGACGACGACGUUGAUAGGCCGGGUGUGUAAGCGCAGCGAUGCGUUGAGCUAACCGGUACUAAUGAACCGUGAGGCUUAACCUU
rnacentral:rRNA from 1 species